GUUUACUUCCAACUGGGAAGAGAAAAUAGAACAAAAGGUGUCCCAUCUCCCCCCACCCUACUAUAUAUUAACGGUGUUUCACAAACAAACGUGCACAGCGACCACAAAGUCGGUGGAGCAAUAACAUAGGAGCACAAACUCUAAAACCAAAGAUAUUUUUAGCUGGCAUCGCAACAAUUUAAUACUUUGUUAUAGUUUUUUUCGGGAAAUGAUAUGAGUCAUACUUUAAACUAUACGUUGGCAACCGGAAAAUAAAGGGGUUGAAUAACUAAAUUCCGGGUUAUAAGUAUUGUUAUUAGGUAUCUUUAUACUCGUUUUACAAGUUGUUUGAAAACAAUAAGUGUGAAUUUAAAAAAAUUACGCUGAAUAAAAACGUACAAAAAGUGUUGAAGAUAGAUUUGUUGGUUUAAAAUACUACAAGAAGGUUUUUGUUUUUAAAUUUGCCAAAUUCCAAGCGAGGAGCGACGAAAAAAGAAUUCUCCAAUUAGCAGGAAUGAUAAAUUUUGAGUCAGUAAUGCAUGGCGUAAUCCGGACGUCAGGAAUCCCAAGUGACAAACAAGAUCUGAACAAAUUGUUCCGCUGGCACGAAAUGUUUUGAAACGCACCAAUGAACAAGCAGCCAGAACACGUGGGCGAGUAAGCAAAGUUACACCACCUCUAUUAAUAGCAAUAUACGUUCCGUGUAUGUCGAAAUCCUAUAUAUACAUCAUAUGACCAAAGCUAAUUUUACCGCUCCGACGGAAAGCCAAAACCUCCUGUUUUCGCGACCAUUAAAAGCCUUUCGUAUUUGCACAGCUGCCCGACCUCAUUAUCCUACAGUGAGGGGCAAUAAGCGGCGAUUCUAUUUCUGUGGUUUGCAUUUAGAUUUGAUGCCGGAUGCGUGCUCGCCCACAGAAUAGAACGGUGUGUAUUGUGGAGGAAAAGCUCACACGCAUAACCAUCGGUCGAUCAACGGGAGCGGUUUAAAAGUGAGCAUAAGGCGCGAGUCGAUAACCAUGAAAUGGCCGUCGUCGACCUGGGCGCGCCUGAAAUUCCCACUGAAGGGAACAAAGGACAAAAAGCUUCCGCGCACAAAGGAAUCCAGUGGCACGCCAUGGGCCUCGGCGAAGUUCGGAAAUCGAGACGAGGCAUAUCAACGUAAACAAUGAAGACGAAUUCAGGUAAGAUGGGCUCACGUGUCUUCAAGAGAGGAUUCGGAGAGUUACGACCAAAUCUUGUAAACAACCUGACUGUAAGUUUGACACGAGCGGGGAAGGGGCACUUCUGUAAAAACCGCGGACCUGUCGCAUUGAUACUGAUAAAAGACCGCUAUUACGCCCAAAUGCCCCCAACUAAAAGCUUCUGCACUACUGCCACAACUGACAAAAUGCCCGCAAUCGAUAACUAUAUAGAAACAUGUUCCAUACUGUGACGCCACCGUUGUUUUCCAUUUUAUGGAACACCGAUAAGAGGUAACUAGACGUUUGUUCGACCUGGAACCUAUAUGUCGUAAAUUUAAGAUAGGCGGCUGUUUUUUAAUGUAGUUUGAUGUCGGCCAGACGACCGUCCACUUUUUUUUCUCCUUGAUAUCAAAGGUUUCUAUUGUGUGCAACCCGCAAAAAAUAAAGAUAAAAAAUUCCAAACACGUAAUCGUUCCAACAGACGGGAAAGUUCGAACAUUGAACAAAACAACAGUUUCGAUGGUGGAGACCACUCACGAAGGCUUUGAAACCAACUUUGCCGUGGAUGACUACGACUUUACAUUAGUGUGGCGCAACAGCUUAAAAGUUUCGACGAAAGUCCAUUAAUGCGCGAUACAUUUGUAUAAGCAGAUCCGACAUCAAAGGAACGGUAGUUUAUACAAGAUAAGCGGCUCCGGUCACAGAAGCUGAAGGAAACUCGAUAAAUGUCGCUCUCCGUGGACACAGUCCGUCUGAUGGACGCAGCCACAAAAGAAGCUUCUUUGGGUGGGAACUCGAAUGGCAAAACAUCAAAGUCGGGACGGUGCCGGAUACUUGUGAUCCUGUACACAUUUUGUGGACACGAAACGGUUGGAUGUUAUGACAAUGGUUUGGCGACAAUAUAAACCACUAAGAAGGCAAGCGAAGCGUUAAACGUUCGGUUAUGUGAGGCCGCUUGACGUUUUCCCACAAUCGCAAAGAUUCGGUCGGCUUGAUAAUCAAGGUGGUGACUCACUAACUUCCAUAUGGACAACAUUCGCUUGAUGGGUUCGGAUCACGAACGGCUGUACUGUCGCUUGGGCAUUCGAUCGAUGAUAAAGGAUAACUUGCACAUCGUACAUUUUCACAUUGCUGGCUAACUGGAGUUUCUAUUAUGUUGAAUAAAAUUGUUAUGGUGCGGCAAAUUUUAA